rnacentral:rRNA from 1 species
GAUGAACGCUGGCGGCGUGCCUAAUACAUGCAAGUCGAGCGAACAGACGAGGAGCUUGCUCCUCUGACGUUAGCGGCGGACGGGUGAGUAACACGUGGAUAACCUACCUAUAAGACUGGGAUAACUUCGGGAAACCGGAGCUAAUACCGGAUAAUAUAUUGAACCGCAUGGUUCAAUAGUGAAAGACGGUUUUGCUGUCACUUAUAGAUUGAUCCGCGCCGCAUUAGCUAGUUGGUAAGGUAACGGCUUACCAAGGCAACGAUGCGUAGCCGACCUGAGAGGGUAAUCGGCCAAACUGGAACUGGGACACGGUCCAGAAUCCUACGGGAGGCAGCAGUAGGGAAUCUUCCGGAAUGGGCGAAAGCCUGAAGGAGCAACGCCGCGUGAGUGAUGAAGGUCUUCGGGUCGUAAAACUCUGUUAUUAGGGAAGAACAAAUGUGUAAGUAACUAUGCACGUCUUGACGGUACCUAAUCAGAAAGCCACGGCUAAAUACGUG